rnacentral:misc_RNA from 1 species
UGAUUACUCCCUGAACGAUUCAUGCUAGCUUUUCUGGGACUAACAAGAGACAAAGAAUGCUCCUUCUUGUGAUUACUAUUCUGUUGAGCGUUGCUAGUGGGAGAAAAAUUGUCAGAAGAAGAAUAAGAAUUGCCGGAAGAAGGGUUAUGAUUGGUGGAGCAGGAACUAUCUUCAGGCUGAUUGUAGCCCUGAAAAGUUUUGCCUCCAAUAGAUCCACGGCAUGUAUUGCCCAUCAAACAAACACAAAAAAUCACA